AGAGUUUGAUCAUGGCUCAGAUUGAACGCUGGCGGCAGGCCUAACACAUGCAAGUCGAACGGUAACAGGAAACAGCUUGCUGUUUCGCUGACGAGUGGCGGACGGGUGAGUAAUGUCUGGGAAACUGCCUGAUGGAGGGGGAUAACUACUGGAAACGGUAGCUAAUACCGCAUAACGUCGCAAGACCAAAGAGGGGGACCUUCGGGCCUCUUGCCAUCGGAUGUGCCCAGAUGGGAUUAGCUUGUUGGUGGGGUAACGGCUCACCAAGGCGACGAUCCCUAGCUGGUCUGAGAGGAUGACCAGCCACACUGGAACUGAGACACGGUCCAGACUCCUACGGGAGGCAGCAGUGGGGAAUAUUGCACAAUGGGCGCAAGCCUGAUGCAGCCAUGCCGCGUGUAUGAAGAAGGCCUUCGGGUUGUAAAGUACUUUCAGCGGGGAGGAAGGGAGUAAAGUUAAUACCUUUACUCAUUGACGUUACCCGCAGAAGAAGCACCGGCUAACUCCGUGCCAGCAGCCGCGGUAAUACGGAGGGUGCAAGCGUUAAUCGGAAUUACUGGGCGUAAAGCGCACGCAGGCGGUUUGUUAAGUCAGAUGUGAAAUCCCCGGGCUCAACCUGGGAACUGCAUCUGAUACUGGCAAGCUUGAGUCUCGUAGAGGGGGGUAGAAUUCCAGGUGUAGCGGUGAAAUGCGUAGAGAUCUGGAGGAAUACCGGUGGCGAAGGCGGCCCCCUGGACGAAGACUGACGCUCAGGUGCGAAAGCGUGGGGAGCAAACAGGAUUAGAUACCCUGGUAGUCCACGCCGUAAACGAUGUCGACUUGGAGGUUGUGCCCUUGAGGCGUGGCUUCCGGAGCUAACGCGUUAAGUCGACCGCCUGGGGAGUACGGCCGCAAGGUUAAAACUCAAAUGAAUUGACGGGGGCCCGCACAAGCGGUGGAGCAUGUGGUUUAAUUCGAUGCAACGCGAAGAACCUUACCUGGUCUUGACAUCCACGGAAGUUUUCAGAGAUGGAUUGGUGCCUUCGGGAGCUGUGAGACAGGUGCUGCAUGGCUGUCGUCAGCUCGUGUUGUGAAAUGUUGGGUUAAGUCCCGCAACGAGCGCAACCCUUAUCCUUUGUUGCCAGCGGUCCGGCCGGGAACUCAAAGGAGACUGCCAGUGAUAAACUGGAGGAAGGUGGGGAUGACGUCAAGUCAUCAUGGCCCUUACGACCAGGGCUACACACGUGCUACAAUGGCGCAUACAAAGAGAAGCGACCUCGCGAGAGCAAGCGGACCUCAUAAAGUGCGUCGUAGUCCGGAUUGGAGUCUGCAACUCGACUCCAUGAAGUCGGAAUCGCUAGUAAUCGUGGAUCAGAAUGCCACGGUGAAUACGUUCCCGGGCCUUGUACACACCGCCCGUCACACCAUGGGAGUGGGUUGCAAAAGAAGUAGGUAGCUUAACCUUCGGGAGGGCGCUUACCACUUUGUGAUUCAUGACUGGGGUGAAGUCGUAACAAGGUAACCGUAGGGGAACCUGCGGUUGGAUCACCU
rnacentral:rRNA from 1 species